CUCUUAUCAAAGUCAUACACAUCAGUCGGCGGUGAGCGCACGCGGCGUUCAGUACCGGAAAAUCGUGACUGGAAAAAUAAUGAGUUAAAUAAACUAUAUGAUGUAGUGUAUGAAAUCGGAUCGGACAAUGUCAAUCAUAAAAUCAUGUGGACUUACUCAAGUGUCGACAUCCCCGGACAUCGUGUCUCUCGGACUGAUCGUAUACGAAUCUACGUCUCCGAGUGUAUCGUCUGCUUCUGUAUUCUCUUCUUCAUUGUCUGCGUUGGACUGCUCUUGUAUCUCUUCUUCCAUCUUUAUAGUACUGUCUCCAGCUCUAGGAAAGUUGCUGAGACUUUAAUCGAGAGUUGAAGUAGGUUGAAGUAGGUUGAAGAGGACAAUACAUCAAAAUUAAACAUUUAAUUGAGAAACUUUAUAUCAAAAUGUAAAAAAGUAUUAUACUGUACAUAACAGUUUAGUAGCCAUUGAAUACAUUACGGAUUACCGAGGUAUCAAUAAUAUCAGCCUCACUUAAAGGUGGCGAUGGGACCAUUUACUUUAAGUAGUUAUCCUCUAGAAAGAGGAUUGUGAGAAUGGACUUCAGGGACGCGUCUUUACUAAAAAUUGAGUUCUGAGGAACACCAUUGAUUAAACUGGUAAUACUUCUAUAAUAACAAAAAUUCAAAAAAUAAUAGUACACAAAUGUAAUUAAGAAUCAGCGACGAGUCACGCUAGAAGUACAGUGCUGACCUUCUCAAUUUAGAGAGAAGAAAAUUAGUUGUAUAAAAUGUGUAUAAAAAUAAACAGUCAUGUGAUAUAUAAUAUAUUUGCUACAUAUUUGUAUGUUUAAAGUGAUGUUAUUCGUUAAUAAAUAAUUUAAAAUUGUUUGUUUUUAACUAG